CUGGAUCUUUGUUCAGGUAAGAACGGAACCAAAACCACAUCCGAAUCAGAACCGCUCCUCCUCAUCCACAGUUCAACACCCACGAACCCACGGGGACCCCCACUGGACCCCACAGAGACCAGAACCCGGGCUGAGCAGAACCGGCAGAACCGAAGCGUUAAAUCCGCAGUUUUCCAGCCGGAGUCCGGAGCGGAACCAUGACGUCACUUCCAGCAAACUUCCCGGGAACAAAGAGCCCGGAGCGGAGCCGGACCGCACCGCAGGCCGGACCCGGAGAACCGGAACCGACUGCGGAGCAUCGAGGUCCUGCAGCGGACACGGCCGGAACCAGAACCCCGAGGUUCGGCGGAGCAGCUCACCUUCGGUCGGAGGAGGAAAAACCUUCAGUGGGUCCGGACCUGGAGGCCUCCGGAACCGGACCGCGGAGUCUGGACCCGGACGGGACGGAACGGAGCCGGAGGGGCUCGGAGCGGCGGCAUUGUGUUUAAGGGAGGGGGCGGAGUUACUACCUGCAGCGCGGGGCCGCGCGCAGGCGCAGGCGCGUGCACGGCGGAGCGCGCGCGCCCUGUGCGCGUGAGAGCCGCCGGUGCCAGCCGUCCCGGUGGUUCCGGUAGUUCCGGACCCACAGAAAACAUCAAAGCCUUUUAUUUAAUAUCUCAUGAGGAGCAGCAGUGACUGGAAAGGAUCAUUUAAAGGCAGAAAAUGGCCUAGUCAAAGUCCAGAGAGAAGGUUGUGGGCGGAGCUUCUUUCUGGAACAGGUGAGGGAUCCGGGUCACCUUGGGGGUCACACCCUGCUGCUGAUUUCAUCAUUUCCUGGAGUUUCAGGUUUCAGUUUGUAAAAUUAAAGGAUUUUUUCUGACAGAUUUUGGUUUAAUUUUUACCUUUUUUUAAAUUAAAUAUUUAUUUUAAACUAAUUUUU